CGGGCUCUACUCUCCGUUAUAAACCUUGGAACCUUGGCUCCAAAACUCCUCGCGUCUCUAGUCGGCUACGGGCACCCAACACCCACUGCGAGCAAAUUGGAGAGGAGAGAUGUCGUCUCUUUCUCCACCAUUCCGCUGUCCUUCUCCCAUUACUCGGCCCGCUUCCACUGGUACUCCAUCUCCGAGACCGUACCCUGUACUUUUUCUCCAGAGAUCGACGGUCCCAUGGCCAAUGCCAUUUCAAUCACCGAGAACCACACCAAAUUGGUUUUCUAAGUCUAGUAGCAGUAGAGUCCUCGUUCCUCUCGCGCUCAGUUCAACCUCUGGGAACUCUGACGGAUAUAGGAAGUUAUAUAUGGAUGCAGUAAUUGUUGCACGGAAGCUGUUUGAUGCUUUUCCUCAGCCAGUGAAAAGCUUUCCUUGGAGCAGAGCGUUGGUCAUUUUUCAAAAUCUCAUCUUUGAGCUUGCUCGGGCCGUUGCAAAGUAUCUCUGCAUUCCUCUUCUGGCUGUCACGUCUCUGAGCGAGAUGUCUUACUGUGCUCAUGAAAGAAAGAUGGGUCUGAUACCCAUCCCAUUUCUCGUUGGGCUUAUUCUUGCUGGGGUCUUAAAGGAUGCGGCUAUUGAGCUCUCUUCAGACCUCAAGAAAGGAGGGUUCCCUUGGCAUUUGCUUCUGAUUGCGAUCUUCUUUACAUUGCUCAAAUUACCCGGUCCAUAUUACCCAUACUGGGGGCGUUUGUUGAUUCCUCACUUUGCUAAUGGUGGACUAUGGAGGACGGUUUGGCUUGCUCUAAUGUGGUACAGAAGGCCUCACGUGGAACCUGAAGGUGCAACGAGGAACCAGUAGUUUGUUCUCAAUUUUGUAGAGAAAAUCAGUUGACUUCCUCUGUGUGAGAUGUGUGGAGCAGAUGGUUCAUUCGAAGUCUUCUUUGAGUCAAGAGAGGAGCUUUCGAAAGAGAGCUCUUCUCCGAUUGAUAAAUUGUCGCUGCUAUUUGCGGCGAUAUGUGGACUUCAUCAGGAGCAUCCGGGAGCUAUUGACGAAUGCUCACAAAAGAUUAAUACAGCAGAUAUCCUUCCACUACAUGCUUGACAUCCCAGUCAUCACACAAGAGCGGGUAGUUGUAGACCAACUCCUUAGUUAGUAAGACGAUAGCAAAAGGAGAUUUCAUUUAGGAGGACAGACGUUGAUCUUCUCUACUGAGGUUGUUGCCCUCAUUUUGGGGCUACCCCUGAAUGGGAUAGCCAUUGAUGUGAAGAAGGCUCCCCAUAGUGUAGUUAGGAUUACACAUUUUGUAGGGGGAUAGUUAGGAGAGAUGUAUUGGAAGAUAAGAUCAAAGAAUUAUUGUCUGAUUCUUCUUCCAAUGGCAUCCGAUCAACGGUGCAAUUACUUGUUUAAUACCUUUUGGGUAUAAUUUUAUUUUCUUUGUCGAAUCUUAGCAUUGCACCGUAGAUCUUCUCCAUUGUUGACCCCUUAGGGGACAUUAGCCAUUUUGCAUGGGUCAGAGCAGUCCACGAGCACCUCAUGAUAUUUAUUCCAAGGGUUGUGGAGAAAAUAAAGAGAAAGGAGAGAGGUGCG